rnacentral:rRNA from 1 species
CCUACGGGAGGCUGCAGUGAGGAAUAUUGGUCAAUGGGCGCGAGCCUGAACCAGCCAAGUAGCGUGAAGGAUGACUGCCCUAUGGGUUGUAAACUUCUUUUAUAUGGGAAUAAAGUGCAGUACGUAUACUGCUUUGCAUGUACCUUAUGAAUAAGGAUCGGCUAACUCCGUGCCAGCAGCCGCGGUAAUACGGAGGAUCCGAGCGUUAUCCGGAUUUAUUGGGUUUAAAGGGAGCGUAGGCGGGUUGUUAAGUCAGUUGUGAAAGUUUGCGGCUCAACCGUAAAAUUGCAGUUGAUACUGGCAGCCUUGAGUACAGUAGAGGUAGGCGGAAUUCGUGGUGUAGCGGUGAAAUGCUUAGAUAUCACGAAGAACUCCGAUUGCGAAGGCAGCCUGCUGGACUGUAACUGACGCUGAUGCUCGAAAGUGUGGGUAUCAAACAGGAUUAGAUACCCUGGUAGUC